CCCAAGUAGCCAGUUAAGGCACAUCACACAAUUUUGUCGCUAUAAUUUUCUUCCUUAUUCAUGAACUGAUUAUUGCAAUCUCCUCUUCAUGCUGCAAACCUGGCGGGUCAUGAAUUAUCUAGAGAAGAACGAUUUUUACAGACAAGUGCAGUUCUUCCUGCGGACGUUUGGAUGCAAUAACUGUUAAUCCUACACCUGAGUUAACAAACAUUACACCGGUAUCUAUGUUGAAAAAAAUCAUUACAGAGGAAUAUAAUAUCUACUCUCAAAAGAAGAACAGGAUAGGCCGGGUAACUUAAAAAAAAAAGACAGACACAUGGGGUAGAUUCAGAUGUAGUAGCUAGUAAUUAGAAGGAUAUCAUCCGUAACUACUUUUCUGUCGUGCUGUUGUUUUGAAUCGUGUCUCUUUAUGUGUUUUACAUCAUGACCUAAUAAUGUUUCAUUUCAGCAUAACAAAUGCUAAUCUACCUGACUCUUCUUACAUCUUUUAUCGGAAAAGACUAAUCUACUGACUCUUAUGUAGGAAUUGAGUGGCACCUUCAAGAUCGCUGGGUUUUAUGAAAAGAAACCUGUUCAUACUACCAAGGCCAGCACAUCUCGCACCAAGCC
rnacentral:lncRNA from 1 species